AUACGUAGGGCGCAAGCGUUGUCCGGAAUUAUUGGGCGUAAAGAGCUCGUAGGCGGUUUGUCGCGUCUGCUGUGAAAGUCCGAGGCUCAACCUCGGAUCUGCAGUGGGUACGGGCAAACUAGAGUGUGGUAGGGGAGACUGGAAUUCCUGGUGUAGCGGUGGAAUGCGCAGAUAUCAGGAGGAACACCAAUGGCGAAGGCAGGUCUCUGGGCCAUAACUGACGCUGAGGAGCGAAAGCAUGGGGAGCGAACAGGAUUAGAUACCCUGGUAGUCCAUGCCGUAAACGGUGGGCACUAGAUGUGGGGCUCUUUCCAUGAGUUCCGCGUCGCAGCUAACGCAUUAAGUGCCCCGCCUGGGGAGUACGGCCGCAAGGCUAAA
rnacentral:rRNA from 1 species